GUCCUCAUUGCAUGAGAUAAGCAGAGCACACAGAAUUAGUCCCUGCUUAUGAAAAGAGAAACACAUUCGGAGAGGAUGACUGGUUGGGCCAAGGUCAAAUGGCAGAGAGCUGGCACAGGUUAGCCCCAAGGGCAGGAUUCUCUGCAUUGCCAAUCGCCUUGCCCCUGGGCCGGCUGAAGUUUCCUGAACCCCAGAAGAAGGACACCUGAUGUGGCACCAAAUAACUACUUUCUGCUUCCCAUUUCCUGCUUCCCACUGCCUGUUUCCCACUUCCUGCUUCCUGCCUCCCAUUUCCUGCUUCCUGUUUUAGUUUUGGCCCAAAGUCUAAAGCAGCAAGAGUGAUGGACUCCUGGCACCUCUGCCUCAGAGUAGAUGGGAAACUCAGCAGAGGCUUGGACAGAAGUUGGACAGGUUCACAGAAAAUGAGCUCUGCAGAGCUGGAAAUCUUUACCCAGAGGGAGGGGAAAAUAGAGGCUAAAGGAAGGUUAGUAAGGGGAGCUCCAGGUUCUGUGAUGACAACAAAGUGAGGGAGCCCAUGGGGGAAAGCCAGCAAGGAAGCAGCCAGCUCACAGGACAGAACUCAAGGAAACAGUGGACUCUAGUUCUAGGCCACAGCAGAGGGAGCCCAGCUGCCUAGCCCAGCUUGGGGACACAUGUGCCAAAGCCUGGAAGCAGCAGCAAUGGACCACAAGUGAUCCUGACCCCCAUCCAGGGGCCACUCAGGAAUAGGCUGGGAGGUUUUUUGAGGACUGCUCCAACCCAGGGUGAGAUUUCAGAGGGACCUGAGGCUGGGCUCUGAGCAGCACCCACACCCUCACGCCACUGCCCAGGAGAUAGGUUGUUCAGUCUGCUAAUGCCUGUUUAAAGAGGCCAAGGCCUUCAACUCCACAAAUGAGAUUGUUUGCCUAAAAUAUGGAAGGAAGGAAGGAAGGAAGGAAGGAAGGAAGGAAGGAAGGAAGGAAGGAAGGAAGGAAGGAAGGAAGGAAGGAAGGAAGGAAGGAAAUGGAAGGAAGAAGGAGAAGAACCUGUAAGAUUUUCCCCCUUAGUUAGAGCUCCAUGCUCAAUAUGAAUAGAGUUGGGGUAUUCAGUGUGACCAUCAGCCCCUUCUCACCGAGCCUCAGGAAAACAAGGACCUGGUAAGAGCCAUCUCUCCUCCCGGAGUCUAGGAUCCUCUUGCCCCUUAGGACCACAGUGUUUGUUCUGCUACGGAUCCCAUCCCUGGCUGCCUCUAAGCCUCUCUCAGGGCUCCUCUCUCCCCAUGCAAUGGCCUGUUGGAGCCCCUGAUCAGUGAGCCAGCUUGGGGGCCCCAGGAAUGAGAACUGUAGAGGCUCCAGGAAAAUGCAUCGUCUUCAUUUCUGGAUAUAGAGUCCUAGGCCUAGUACCCUUGACCCCAAUUUUUCCAUCUGACCAUAAACCAUUGAUGGCACUCUCUUCUUAUUUGGAUAAGUGGAGGAGACCAGGGAUGAGGAGGGCUGGCAGGGGAAAAGAGGGCCUCGCUAAGGAGAUGAAGGGCAGAGCGACAAGAAAAAAGACAUGCUCUUUAGGUGAACACCAAAUGGGCACAGAGUUCUGGCCUACACUAUGUGCUUAGCCAGUAUUCUGACCCUCUUCACAGAAAGGACAAGCCAGUGUGUCAUCGGCUUGAUGAGACACUGUGUACAAGUAGCUGGGAGAUUUUCAUUCACUGUGAGCAUGAUAAGCCAAUGUGUGAAGCAGGACUAUGUCCAAACCCAGUUCCAGUCUACACUCUUGAAGGUGCUCAUCAGCAAACUGAAGAGGUCCAAGGAGACACAACCACCAUGGUCAGAGGACUCAGGGUGUGUCACCCAGGAAAGAACAAGGGUGUAUACCCGGAAAAAGGCAAUACUUAAAAGGUUCUAGAAACCUACAAGCUUCUGACAAAGAGGAAGAACACAGUCACUCAGCUCCCCAAAACGGGCAAAGAAAUUAGACCAAGAGCAUAGGGAAGCAAAUACUAGCUAAAAGCAAAGGGAUUUGUGCAACAGACGUCUGACAACUACUAUAUAGCAGGAAAAAAGCAUGGUGUUUGGACUCAUUCCUCCUCUGCCAUGUACUCGUGGUGAGGCCUUGAGCAAGGUAGCUAGUUUCUGUAAGCCUCGGUUUUAUUGUCUCCAAAUUGAGAGACAUAACAAUGUCUUCAAAGUUUGCUGUGAAGGUUAAAAUUAAAUAGUACAUAUAAAACAGCACAGACAGUAAAGUACCCCAAAACAUUAGCUCUGAUCAUUUUAGCAUCCUGGAGUGCUUACGACAUAGUCAUCUAUUAUGUAAAGGGGUGCUGUUAUGAGUCAAGUUGCGUCUCCUUGAAAAGGCAUGUUGGAGCCUCCACUAUCUCAGGGUAGGACUUUAUUUGGAGACAGGGUCUUUACAGAAGUAAUCCAGUUAAACUAAGGUCAUAAGGGUGGGCCCCAAUCCAAUAAAACUUAUUGGACAUGGACACACAUUAAUGGAAGAUGGGCAUGCAGAGACGCAGGGAGAAGAUGGCCUUUGACCUGCCAAGAAGAGCAGCCUGGAGUAGACUCUCCCUUCCAGCCACAGAAGGGACCGACCCUGCUGACAGCUUAAUCUUGGACUUCUUGUCUCCAAAACUGGGAGACAAUAAAUUUCCAUGGUUUAA